UGGGGAAUUUUGGACAAUGGGGGAAACCCUGAUCCAGCCAUCCCGCGUGUGCGAUGAAGGCCUUCGGGUUGUAAAGCACUUUUGGCAGGAAAGAAACGUCAUGGGUUAAUACCCCGUGAAACUGACGGUACCUGCAGAAUAAGCACCGGCUAACUACGUGCCAGCAGCCGCGGUAAUACGUAGGGUGCAAGCGUUAAUCGGAAUUACUGGGCGUAAAGCGUGCGCAGGCGGUUCGGAAAGAAAGAUGUGAAAUCCCAGAGCUCAACUUUGGAUCUGCAUUUUUAACUACCGGGCUCGAGUGUGUCAGAGGGAGGUGGAAUUCCGCGUGUAGCAGUGAAAUGCGUAGAUAUGCGGAGGAACACCGAUGGCGAAGGCAGCCUCCUGGGAUAACACUGACGCUCAUGCACGAAAGCGUGGGGAGCAAACAGG
rnacentral:rRNA from 1 species